GAUGAACGCUGGCGGCGUGCCUAAUACAUGCCAGUCGAGCGAACAGAUGAGGAGCUUGCUCCUCUGACGUUAGCGGCGGACGGGUGAGUAACAUGUGGAUAACCUACCUAUAAGACUGGGAUAACUUCGGGAAACCGGAGCUAAUACCGGAUAAUAUAUUGAACCGCAUGGUUCAAUAGUGAAAGACGGUUUUGCUGUCACUUAUAGAUGGAUCCGCGCCGCAUUAGCUAGUUGGUAAGGUAACGGCUUACCAAGGCAACGAUGCGUAGCCGACCUGAGAGGGUGAUCGGCCACACUGGAACUGAGACACGGUCCAGACUCCUACGGGAGGCAGCAGUAGGGAAUCUUCCGCAAUGGGCGAAAGCCUGACGGAGCAACGCCGCGUGAGUGAUGAAGGUCUUCGGAUCGUAAAACUCUGUUAUUAGGGAAGAACAAAUGUGUAAGUAACUAUGCACGUCUUGACGGUACCUAAUCAGAAAGCCACGGCUAACUACGUG
rnacentral:rRNA from 1 species